rnacentral:tRNA from 1 species
AAAGUCUUAGCUUAAUUAAAGUGUCUGAGUUGCAUUCAGGCGAUGCAGAUAAGAAUUCUGCAGAUUUU